AAGUCGUAACAAGGUUUCCGUAGGUGAACCUGCGGAAGGAUCAUUAACAAAAUCAAAUCCAUCCACGCACCCUGUUGCAUCCCCCCUUUCAAGGGGGGGCCUUCUUUCUAUCUUUUCUCUCGUGAGAGAGAAGCAGAGAGCCUAUAAACACAAUAUAUUGAUACACAGCAGUAGUAGUAAAGAGAAACAACUUUUAACAAUGGAUCUCUUGGCUCUU
rnacentral:misc_RNA from 1 species